AUCAAAUUUUCAAUAUGUUAGAAUAAUCCAAAUCUCAAUUUUUAAGACAGAUUUUCAAAUGAAAAUUCUAUGUUUAUUUUAAAAAAGGUUGUACAAUUUUCCAUCCAUGUAUUGUAGUUUAUUUUUAAGUGGGAACAGAUGGAAAUUAAUAACAUGAAAAAAGUGAACAAAUUCUUGCAGAUUGAAAAUAUUAUGACAAAAGGGAAAUAACUCAUAAGACAAUAUAGAAUAUAUCAGAUUUCUAGGUUAACCCUUAUAAAGUGUUUGUUUUUACAUAUUUUACUUUGUAGAAGCUUUAUGAAAGUUAUGUCAUUAAGAUAAAAGUUUUGACUGGUGUUGCAUUCAUUUGUUAGGGCAGUUAAGUUAGUUAAAAAAAGAUGAUCAGGGAUUUAUCUAUUCUGCGUUGACAUAUUUUUUUCUCAUAUUUUAUUAAACAGGGAUUACAGUU
rnacentral:lncRNA from 1 species